UAUAUCACAUCAUCUGUCUGUCCACAGGCUUUCCUCUGGGCUUAUGGAGAUUUCCUAGGGUAAUUAUUUCCCACUGACUCAGACCACAGGACAGUGUGAACACCUAACAAAUAGGACUGCAGUUAAGAGCUAGGGCUAGGACUUGGAGGAUGUGUAGGCAAACGGAAAGAGAGCCGGGGGAAGAAAAACCGAAAUGGAUUCAUUCUCUGUCCUGGAUGGAGGAGGAGAGGAGAAGAGAAGGGGACGUGCGAGCUUCCUUCAACUGCCUCUGUCCGGUGAAAAGUGCUCAGACCCCCGGGGCUGCGCCGGACUCCGGAGUCCGCGCGGACUUUCGCGUUGAGCUGCCAAUCAAACCGCUCACAGCCACCACCCUGCUCUGGCACCGACAUGUAAGUAGCUGCAGCACAACUUUGACAUUCACAGUUUUUCCCCCUCCUCCCCCGUGACCUUUAAAACGAUCUGGAAAUGUAGCUCCCACCUACGACCCGCCGCUCUGAGCUGCACCGCUCGGGGACUCGCGUACGGGUUUGGGCUCGGCUGAAAUUGCGCGGCCGCGCAUCGCGAACGAAGCGCUGGGCAGAAGCGCUCCCGGUCCGCGGGCUGCCUCUGCGCUGUCUGCUCCUCUCCCGCGGAGCUGAAGGCCCGCGGGGAGCUCUUGGGCUGAAGCAGAGCCGGGACCCUCCCCCUCCGCCCCGGGAUGUUCCAGACGGGGCCCGCUAUUUUGGCGCUGCCCCGCGGGGCGAGCCGCGGAGAGGCGCGCAGCCCCCGGCC